rnacentral:lncRNA from 1 species
AUAUCGGGGGUGCACUGGCACAGAGGAAAGGCCAUGUGAAGCAAGAAGGCAGCCAUCUGCAAGCCAAGGAGAGAAAUUUCAGAAGGAACCAACCCUACCGACAUCUUGAUCUUGGACUUUAAGCUGCCAGACCUAUAGCUUCACACAUAAGGAACCACCUUAGCAUCCUUCACUCAAUGCUGAAAGUGAGCAUCUGGUCUGCCUUUGGGCCAAUGCUAAAUCUCUUCAACAGCAUCCUUUACCGAAGCAACAUUGUCCCAGAAUCUGCUGAAGCAGCAAGAAAAGAGGUCAGCAGUAGGACCAAGCUGCAUAUCUUCUUAGGCAGGAGUGCAUCACUAUUGAGGCCAAAUGGACACUCACUAGCAAGGUGGCUGGAAACAACUGUUCCAGAAAGAACCCAAGGAAAAAUUUCCAGGAGGAACCCAAACAGAAAAAUCUAUUUUAUACAUUUUCUACAGAAAAUGCACCCCAUCAUUGCUUAUAGCCCACCCACGUGGACUGCUCAUUCUGUGAAUCAUGUUUUACAGAUUUGUUUAUGUGGCAUUCCUCGUUUGAAUAAAGCAGAACCAAAUGUCUUGGUUUGAAGAUUGAGAUGAAAUGGGAGGGCCACAAAUAGUAAUUUAUCUUUGAGCAUCGUAUAGAUAAACAUGUAACCUGAUACUAAACAAAAGUAAAUGCUCAUGGACUGUCAGUGAUGUGGUGGGAUAUGCCAGAGGGAAGUGAUUUGUGGACUCACUGGAGAGAGACUUCUACUAGAAAAAUUGCCUUGAUGUUAGGAAUUAAAAAAACAAAACAAAACAAAAAACAUGGAGCCGUAUUCUCCAGAAGCUUACAUCUGAUUUAACGAGACAGGUAAGUACAAUUUCAACAUAAUGCAUUAAGUGCUAUGAGAGUAGUAUGAUGGUGAUAGGUGCUAUACAAGACAAGGGUUCUAGGUUAAUUGCUUUGAGAAAAUUGCCACCCUUUAACAAGGUUAAACUGGAUUCUUUAACGUCAACCUUACUGAGAGUUUCUAAUAUGUCACUGUGCUUUGUGAAUCUUCAUGUGUGUGGAGUAGAGAUCCAGUCUGCCAAGUUCUGCAAACUCAUCUGACAACAGAACUCUUUUUCAAUGGAAUAUCUCAAGGCAUUUGUGCUCCACGAGACAUAAGAUGAGAAGGGCUGACACAAGAUUCUCACCUAGUGAAAAAAAAAUAUGUAUUUAUAUUUUUAAAAACUGGUUGGAUGGGGGCUUUCUCCCAAAUACAUAAAUGACUUUGAAGUUUUUUUUUUCAGUCCUAUGACAGAGUAAAGAUGCAGACUUAAAAGGAUUUACCAUGAAGAUUUUAAUGACUGCUGGGCUGAUUAUUAAGCCUGAUCCCAGUGAAAUGGAAUGCCUUUAGUCAUUUUCAUUUAUGGACUGUUUAACGAUUUUUCUCCAAAAGAAAUAUUUAAUGAACACAAUAUCGAGUUCCUCCCAGUGCUUCUAAUUAACAGACCACUGAACGAUCUUUGUUAAAGGAAAGGCUAGCUUCAGGCCAGAAGGCGUUGCAGGAUCUAAUAUGUAUGCUACCAUGGGUGACCAAGCAUAAAGAUAAACUAAGGAUUUGAAUAUAUAAGGGCUAAUGUUUGUGUCCAUUGUUAUGGAAUUUCUGACAAUCACUCUCUAGUCUUUCCUAAUAUUUGGCCUUUAGGAAAAGUGUUUUGGACUGAAUUGUUCUCUCUCCUCAUUAUCCUCCUUAAUGUGUGAAAGUCUCAAUGUAACUGUUGAUUACCUGCUCUCUAUUUCAUAAAGAGGAAAAACAGAUCCAGAGGACCAUUUCAUGAUUCAUCCUUUUUCAAAACGUUUCUUAAAACAUUAAAUAAAGUUUUAUUAUUGUAAACUGUU